rnacentral:rRNA from 1 species
ACUCCUACGGGAGGCAGCAGUGAGGAAUAUUGGACAAUGGGCGAAAGCCUGAUCCAGCCAUGCCGCGUGAAGGAUGAAUGCCCUAUGGGUUGUAAACUUCUUUAUACAGGAAGAAACCUUUUGGAUUUUAUCCAGAGCUGACAUUACUGUACGAAUAAGCAUCGGCUAACUCCGUGCCAGCAGCCGCGGUAAUACGGAGGAUGCAAGCGUUAUCCGGAUUUAUUGGGUUUAAAGGGUCCGUAGGCGGAUUUUUAAGUCAGUGGUGAAAGCCUACAGCUCAACUGUAGAACUGCCAUUGAUACUGAAGAUCUUGAAUAUAUAUGAAGUGGGCGGAAUGCGUCAUGUAGCGGUGAAAUGCACAGAUAUGACGCAGAACACCAAUUGCGAAGGCAGCUCACUAAUGUAUUAUUGACGCUGAGGGACGAAGCAUGGGGAGCGAACAGGAUUAGAUACCCUGGUAGCACAGAG